ACAAUUGGGUUUAUAAAAGGUUCGUUUCAAGAUAUAAAUUGAGAACCUAUUGAUUUAUAAUUGCUCAAUCAAAAAAGUACAUUUUGUAAAAACUGAAAAUGAUGACUUGCAGUUCUUUACGACUCCUAUCCGGAGGCACCCCAGUACCAAUAAAUUGACCGGGGUUUCUAAAGGAAUAAAGACCGGUCGAGCUCAUGUCUGCCAAGGGAGCCAUUGUGAUUUGUAACGUCAUCUACCUUUGACCUAAAACCUCGUUCUUUUCCGUCCGUGUACUAAAACGGAAUUCCCCGACUCUCCCGAGGAAGAAUGCUUCAUCCUAUCCUCCUCUGAUGGGGCCAAAUUUUAACUGCCCAUCGUGCACUGAUCUCCAAAAGCAAAACUAUUUUUUAACUCGUCCUCCAAUACCCUAAAGUACCACAAUAUGUCUCAUUCAUGUUACAAGAAAUGUUGACCAAUUACCUCCCGUCAAAUGGACUACUCCACUACCGGCGAAAUCAUGAUAUCCAUGAAUCCGCAGCCACCCUUCCCGAUGCCAGGUCCAAUGGGCGAUCAUAGGAUAGAUGAACCCGGUGAUCAUAAUGCUGUACACGAUGUAGGCAUAGAAGUUGCAUCGUUCGGCCAAUGAUCCGGAGACCAAAGUGGCGGCAGUGGCGGCAAACACGAAUUGGAAGAACCACUUGGACAACUUGUACGCUGUAAAGGUUGCGGAGAAAACAGGAUUGAAAUGGAUUGUUACGGGGCAAGUCCGACGACGUACUAUGGACAGUGCAACAUACCUGGCAUAUCGAAGAAGAAAAAAUAGGAGGUGCCCAUGAAUCUGGCCAAUCCGGGUCGAGAUUCUCCGAACGUCAGGGCAAAACCAACGGCCCAAUAGACCAGAGCUCCGAUACACAUGUCCAGCCAAUUCUUAAUAAGAAUAUUCACCGUAUUUUUAGAUCUGGAAAGCAAAAUUUUCAGACAUGAAGGAGGAGGUUUUUCUUUCAAGAAAACCCAUUCAAAUUUCUCUCCCCACGAAAACGUGGAAAGCCAGGCGACCUCAGAAAUAUGAAGGAGUCAAUCAAAAUUUAUGCUCUUUUGUUCGGAUAUUGGUGUGUCCUUGGAAUAGGGCCAAACCUUGGGGAAGGAAGCAACCAAAGAACCGCUUCUUCUUCCACAAGGAAAAGCCGGAUAUAGAGUACUUUCAAUGAUGUACCAAAUCAUGUACCAAUUCAGAACGUAUAGUGCGGAUAAACCAAAUCAAUGUACGAAUUGCUAAAAAUGAACGUAUUCCAUCCCUCCAGGAAUCCUUUUUCCACCUCCUCCAAUUCCGGAUGUGGCUCUUCCAGAUGGCGAUCUUGAGAAAAGUUCGCCUUUCUUUGACGGAAGAUUUUUUGUGACUAAGCAGAAUCAAACUUGCUCAGAGAGGAGGAAAAAGCGAGAUGGCAUAUUCAUUCAGCAUUGGACUUUUUUCAUUUCAAGAAGAAGCAACGCCUCAUAGGGAAACGUUGGAAGUGUACAAAAGUCUGAAACCCCGACGAGACAACUCAAUUGUAGGUAGUUUACAACAUUCUCAAUGUCCUCGAUGAACCGGGUUAUAACUCGGCCAAUGUUUUAAAAGUGGCCGAUUUGGAUUUGCGAUUCGAAUACAUCCCGCCGUUUACUCACUAAAUAUUGACGUUGCAGCUCCCAAAAAGAAUUCCAAGUUCAUUUCUGCAAUAUCACGCCGAAGGAAAAUUCAUUGGUACGACCAUGAUUCAUGCCCCCAUAAAGGGCCUGUUUGUAUCCAGAGAAGGAGACAAUUCUCUCUAUGUGCGAUUGAGGAUUUAUUGAAGGCCUAGUUCCCCUGCUCAUUGUUUGCUCUUCCUCAAUAUCGAAAACGAAAUUCGCUUUCCGCAUGAAUUGAUCUCGCUUUGAUUUUCCUCGUUGAAGAAGAAAAACUAUUGGAAACAUCCACACCUGUUUUUAUAUACACACAAGCUUUCAAUUUAUACAUGUCUUGGGCUUGGAACGUAAUCCUCUUGGGAGCAUGUUCCUCAUUUAUUGUUUCUUGUACCUAAACAAUGGCCUAAAUGCGGUGCCAGAUGUUCUCACAACUCGCUUGAGU